rnacentral:misc_RNA from 1 species
GAUGAAGAACGUAGCGAAAUGCGAUAAGUAAUGUGAAUUGCAGAAUUCAGUGAAUCAUCGAAUCUUUGAACGCACAUUGCGCCCGCCAGCAUUCUGGCGGGCAUGCCUGUUCGAGCGUCAUUUCAACCCUCGAGCCCCCCCGGGGGCCUCGGUGUUGGGGGACGGCACACCAGCCGCCCCCGAAAUGCAGUGGCGACCCCGCCGCAGCCUCCCCUGCGUAGUAGCACACACCUCGCACCGGAGCGCGGAGGCGGUCACGCCGUAAACCGCCCAACUUUCUUAGAGUUGACCUCGGAUCAGGUAGGAAUACCCGCUGAACUUAAGCAUAUCAAUAAGCGGAGGA